rnacentral:rRNA from 1 species
UACGUAGGAGGCGAGCGUUGUCCGGAUUUACUGGGCGUAAAGCGCGUGUAGGCGGCUAGGUAGGUCCGUUGUGAAAACUCGAGGCUCAACCUCGAGACGUCGAUGGAAACCAUCUAGCUAGAGUCCGGAAGAGGAGAGUGGAAUUCCUGGUGUAGCGGUGAAAUGCGCAGAUAUCAGGAAGAACACCCGUGGCGAAGGCGGCAUCCUGGACCAAUUCUGACACUGAGGAGCGAAAGCCAGGGGAGCAAACGGG